UCCUCGCUCAAAGAAUCGCAUUCGAAGCUCACACACGGAGAAAUCCCCGAGGGGAAUCUCUCAACCAGCUUUUGGGAAAGUCCCCGGACACCCUGACUGUUUAAAUCGUCCCUUGUGGGCCCAGUCAGGCAAUGCGGAAACGCGCCGCCAUAGAAGCAAUUCGAUAGCGGCUUAUUGCCCUGUUUCCUCCCAGUGCUCGCAUUCGUAUCCGACGUCGGAAGAGGUCCUACUCUCUCUCGGUGGAAACAAUGGCGGUACGGGCUUGUGCUGGAGAGGGGCUUUGAUCUGGGUUGCCUUUCGUCGUGUUUGGAUAGUCAUGCGAUUGCUCACGGCCGAACUCCUUUGGGGCUUGGCGGUGGGUAACUCAAUGGGGCUCAUUCUUGAGGCGAGG
rnacentral:RNase_MRP_RNA from 2 species